GAACUGGUUUGGGCACUAGCGAGCCUGAUAUCCCCAGGAUAAUCUAGAAAGGCUGGAAUUGUGGACAGGAUUUCUCUGCCACUUUCUUCUGGGAAAUUACAGUGUUUGCUCUUCUGGUCGACUGAUUGGCUGGGGUUCAAUCAUAUGAUUGGCAGUAAUCUCCUGUACUUAAAGCUGACAGGGUUCACUGUACCUAUAAAUACAGUCUUGCAGCAUCUUGCCGGUGUUUGACUGAGCAACUGGGCACCCGUACAAUAUUGAUGCCUCCUGGGUCUGACCACCACAGGGAGCCAGAUGGCUUUGUAUCCCACUGUCCACUCAAAACAUCUUCUGGGCUUCUUUGCCCGGGCACCUCGGUGCGCUCGGUCAACGGCCUCUGCGAGCGCUCACCCGAGUGCCCCGGAGCCGGCGGGCGGCGACCCUCUCUCCGGGGACUCUCCAGCAGGCCCAGGGGAUAAAAGUGGCUCUCAACCUAGCACAUGUGCAUCGGAGCAAUUUAAGGAGUUAAUAUGAAGCACAGAAGCAGAUAGUGCCAAAUAGCAAGCCUGUUGUUUCACAUUUGGUGAGUGGGGCGGCAUUUCCUUCUCCCACUGCUGCUGAGAUGGCAGAAAUUAGUCGAAUUCAGUAUGAAAUGGAAUACACCGAAGGUAUUAGUCAGCGCAUGAGGGUCCCGGAAAAACUAAAAGUAGCCCCACCAAAUGCUGACCUGGAGCAAGAGUUCCAAGAUGGAGUUCCAAAUGCCAGUGUGAUAAUGCAAGUCCCAGAGAGGAUCGUGGUUAUAGGAAAUAAUGAAGACAUUUCAUUUUCAAGACCAGCAGAUCUUGACCUUAUCCAGUCCACUCCCUUUAAACCUCUGGCACUGAAAACACCACCACGUGUGCUCACACUGAGUGAGAGACCACUAGAUUUCCUGGAUUUAGAAAGACCAUCUCCAACUCCUCAAAGCGAAGAGAUCCGAGCAGUUGGCAGGCUAAAAAGAGAGCGUUCUAUGAGUGAAAAUGCUGUUUGCCAAAAUGGACAGUUGGUCAGAAACGAUUCCAUGUAUGGCAUUUCAAACCUAGAUGCAGCCAUUGAAGGAGCAUCAGAUGACAUGACUGUGGUAGAUGCAGCUUCAUUAAGAUGUCAGAUAAUCAAGUUAAAUAGACGUCUACAACUUCUGGAAGAGGAGAAUAAAGAGCGUGCUAAAAGAGAAAUGGUCAUGUAUUCAAUCACUGUAGCAUUCUGGCUGCUUAAUAGCUGGCUCUGGUUUCGACGCUAGAGGUAACCUCAGCAGUCACAUAUAUUGUCUCAACACCUGGAAAUAUAAAGGAUUUGCAAACUUCAUUGUUUCUGUCUUUGCAUCAUCGUAUGCCGGCUUUCUAGUCCAAGCCCUGAAAAUAUUUCUCCAGAAUGCAGGGAAGGACCUGUAUCUGUAGAGUGAAGGCCUGUUGUGUUGCUGAUGGGCAUUCAGCCAGUUCUGCAGUGGCACCUAUACACUCUCCUUUUGCAUGUCUUGUAAAUAGGCUCUAGGUUUGUUUGUUUUUAAAGAAAAUAAUUUUUGUGGCCUCAUCAGUCUGUACAGCUAAUUCUCUAAACAGAAAUGGCAGACAUAAAGAGUGAGUUUAGAAAACUGUCUGUGAAAGAAAAGUGUUUUGUCCUGUUUUUCAGAUGAUUAAGCAGUUUCUUUGAUAGAUGCUUUUUGUAUCUACAUCUCAGCAGUGAUGCUUUUUAAGUCACAGUGUUGUACAGGACUCAAGUCAAACCACCUAACUCCUCUUCAUCAGCUGUGCAGGCGGAGGGAGUUUAAAAACUCCUAACAGUUCAGCAGUUUAUCUGUGUGCAAUAUGUUGUUUUGACUUUCAUCUUAGUUUUCUAUCAAGUAUGUUUUUACCAAGUCCAUGUGUGAAUGAUUUAAAAACCUAAAAAAUAAGGUAUAAAUGUAGUGUAUUUAAUAAACUGUCAACCAAAAAAAAAAA